rnacentral:misc_RNA from 1 species
AAGAAAAACCCAUCUGAUCCCUUUCUUCGUUCUCAAUCCUCAACCUAGCCUUCAUCCAAAUUCGAAUUCUCCUUGCCCUGAAACUCAAUCAUAAUCGUCAUUUUUUCCCUCAAAACUUUCUGGGUCGGUCUGGAAAAGAAGAAAAUGGUGGUGUGGCCGAGUCCGGCGGCGAAGAAGAAGAGUAUAAGCCAGAAGUGAAGAAGAAGAAGAAGAUCGUUUGAGAUAUUUCCGUUGGAGCGAAAGGCAAAAGCAAAAGGGGCAAAGGAG